GCCUCAGCCUCCCCAGUGUUGGGAUUACAAGCAUGUGCCACCGCGCCUGGCAACCUGGUGUUUUAAUUUUGAUUGGGCACAAUUAGGAAUUGGACCCAUGGCCUUUGCACUGAACUGCAUCUCCAGCCCUUUUUUAUUUUUUACUUUGAGAUACGGUUUUACUAAAUUUCCCUGGCUGGCCUGGGACUUGUCAUCCUCCUGCCUCGGCCUCCCAGAGUGCUAGGAUGACAGCUGAUAGAUUUUGCACAGUGAAGGGAUGACAGAUCCAUGUGUGUGGGUUCAGGCUCAGGGCUGCCUCAAGUGGUGCAGUCCCUGAGAAAUCGGUUUUCCAGUUCCCUUCCUGCUCCACAGUUAAGAAAUCUGAGUCCACCAAAGUCAACCAGUAACUUCUAGGGGUGAAGCUUACACAGAGAAAUGCCAUGCGCCUGGGCAGCCAUCGGCUCAGCCCACCCCUUCCGGAAGGGAGGGCCCACAUGCUCCUCCACGCCCCACAGAUCUCAGUCCCAGAUCUCUUAGGCAUCGACCCUGUGGGAGGAGUAGGGCCAGCCAACCCGAAGGGGAGAACCUGGCUGGGAGAUGAGCCCAAGACUGGAAGCAGGCACCAGAGUGGAGGGAGGGAUGUCUCCACAGGCACCUCAAAACCAUCACGUCUGAAACUGAGUGCCUAUCCCUCUCGCAAACCAGCCAUUCUCAAAUCGCCACCAUCCCGGCACACGGCAGCUCCGUCCUCCGGAUACUCCAGCCCAAACCUCACAUGGUGGAGCAGGCGCCUAGCAAGUCGAGGCCCUGGAUUCCAUUCCCAGCACCAAAACCAAAACACAAGCGAUCCUCAGCUCAUCUCUCUCCCGCCCGCAUCCCAUUGGUAUGGAAUCCACACUGGGAGCAAAGUCUGUCACACGGUUCAACAAGGACGAGCAGUUCUACUCUAGCUAUACUGGCCUGCAUCCAGGGUCUCACUGAGUUGCCUAAGCAAGAUGUGAGCUUGCGACC